UAUUUGUUGUUUCUAAAUACAGGUUAUUGGUCGAUCUUCUUCUUGAGAAAGCUCUAGGAAGAAAAUCCUCACAGACCAAGAGUUUUUCAAAGAGAGAAGAAGAAACCUGCUGAGGUCUCUUGUCGCCGAUUAGGGAACAUCUCCGUACGCUCUUAUUUGGAUCCCUGGGCGUGCAUUUUAUUCUCAGCUGCCAGAAUGACUCUUAGUAAGAGCAUUUCCUUGGGUGACCUGAUCUUGAUCUGCAUCUUGUUCGUUCUUGCUGUGGCUGUCAUCAUCUUCUGCCUUUGGAAGCGUAAAUCUCCUCCAUCCUUGCCUGCUCAGGUGUCUGCAUAUGAGGUGGCCAUGACGCCUCUUGACUCACGAUCUCCCUGGUCUACUCCUGCUCAGCCGGACUUCUCUCCAACAGCCUCGAGUUAUUACUCGGUAGGAAUACGCACCCCAUCACCUUAUACUGGGUGCUUCACGCCAGCUCGAAUCAACUUAACCUAGUCGAUUUUUCUAGAGGUAUCUAUAGGUACAUAGUAAGAAAGUAGUAGAGAAUUUAGAAUUUAGAGUUAAGAAAGCAUUAGAGAAUUCAGAAAUUAGAAUCUGGUAACUAUUUCUCGUUCAGUAUUUAAUUAUGUUGUACCAAAACCCCAACUUAUGUUUUGUAUUUUGUUAUGUUCAUUCUAAGUUGUGGAAACUUAUCAUGAAAGUUUAAUGUGCAAAGUUUGGCAAAAAAAAA
rnacentral:sRNA from 1 species